rnacentral:lncRNA from 1 species
UUGGAAUGUAAAAUUACUGAGGAUGUUAAAAGAAAACAGCCAACGGGGAAAUAGAACAAAUGGUUACUAGCAGUUAAUACAUGAAUGACAAAUUCACAGCCCCUUGACAAACAGGAGCUGAGGGGAAAAGGUCUGACCUGACCAACAAAGAUAAAUAGCAUAAGUUCACUUCUCCCAAGAAGACCUUCCAGCCAAAAGAGAACAAAGGGAGUUAGGGCAACUAAAGGUACAUUUCUUUAAAUAACCCAAUAGGAGACAGUAAAUCCUAGGCAACCUUUGGAAAGACUACACUUCAUAAUACUCAACCAAUGAGGAUCCUGGGGAGAGAGAGGC